rnacentral:rRNA from 1 species
AUGGACCGCGAGCGCGAGGAGGCCCAGCGGCCGGAGGUGGACGGACGCGCAGACAGACAGACAGAUCAUCGCUGCAGUUCAUCUCCUCUCUCUCUCUCCCAAGGACCACCACGACAUCUGCAACUGCAAAGCUGGCACACACAGGGAUGCCCAUCAUCACCUCAAGAAGAAGAAGAAAAGAUUCGGUGCAGGUGCAAGUUGAGUGCUAGUAGGUGGAGGGAGGACAAGGUGAGCAGUAAACAAAAUGGAACAAACGGUCGUACCUUGGACUGUUGUAGCCUCUCAAGGAAGGAAGCACAUGGACUCUUAAACAGUUGUUAA